UGGAGAACCUUCUCAGCUAACAUUUGCCACUUGUGGAAUGUAUUCCAUGUACUGAGUGCUUAUUAACUUUUCUCUCAGUCCCUCACUGCUGCUCUUCUCGCCUCAUCUCAUCUAAGGGAAAACUCAGGCUCCAAAAGCAAACUGAUUCCAUCAAGAUAACAAUGUAACUGGGACCUGGGGUCCAAGCCUGGUUCUCGCACAAGGUAGAUACUCCCUGAGAUGCUGGGGAAGAGCCAUGGUAGGGCCACUCAUUGCCCUCUUCCCUGGGUGGACCUUGGACAUCCACCUUCCCUGCGUUAAAGUGCUCCACUAGGUGACGUCGGAAGACAAGUACAUGUGAAAUCCUGUGGCUGACCACAGACAGGCGAGCAGUAAGGAAAAGCUCGCCGCUUCCUUCCUCAACCCUGCGCCGGCUGCGUCAGUGGCCUUUCAUCCGCACUCAAAAUGGCGGCGGCGGCGUCAGCGUCAGCGGUCUCCUGCCCGUAUCUAUCGUGGCGGCGACGGGACCCGCCUCCCUGGGCGCCGGAGUCAUGUGACCCACACAAUGGCUGAGUGGCUACUCUCGGCUUCCCAGCAACGCCGAGUGAAAGCCAUGACGGCCGCCGCCGGUUCAGCGGGCCGCGCCGCGGUGCCCUUCCUGCUGUGUGCGCUGCUGGCGCCCGGCGGCGCGUACGUGCUUGACGACUCCGACGGGCUGGGCCGGGAGUUCGACGGCAUCGGCGCGGUCAGCGGCGGCGGGGCAACCUCCAGACUUCUAGUAAAUUACCCAGAACCCUAUCGUUCUCAGAUACUGGAUUAUCUCUUUAAGCCGAAUUUUGGUGCCUCUUUGCAUAUUCUAAAAGUGGAAAUAGGUGGUGAUGGGCAGACAACAGAUGGCACUGAGCCCUCCCACAUGCACUAUGCACUAGAUGAGAAUUAUUUUCGAGGAUAUGAGUGGUGGUUAAUGAAGGAAGCUAAGAAGAGGAAUCCCAAUAUUACACUCAUUGGGUUGCCAUGGUCAUUCCCUGGAUGGCUGGGAAAAGGUUUUGACUGGCCUUAUGUCAAUCUUCAGCUGACUGCCUAUUAUGUCGUGACCUGGAUUGUGGGUGCCAAGCGUUAUCAUGAUUUGGACAUUGAUUAUAUUGGAAUUUGGAAUGAGAGGUCAUAUAAUGCCAAUUAUAUUAAGAUAUUAAGAAAAAUGCUGAACUCUCAAGGACUCCAGCGAGUGAAAAUCAUAGCAAGUGAUAAUCUCUGGGAGUCCAUCUCUGCGGCCAUGCUACUUGAUGCCGAACUCUUCAAGGUGGUUGAUGUUAUAGGGGCUCAUUAUCCUGGAACCCAUUCAGUAAGAGAUGCAAGGUUGACUGGGAAGAAGCUUUGGUCUUCUGAAGACUUUAGCACUUUAAAUAGUGACACGGGUGCAGGCUGCUGGGGUCGCAUUUUAAAUCAGAAUUAUGUCAAUGGCUAUAUGACUUCCACAAUCGCAUGGAAUUUAGUGGCUAGUUACUAUGAACAGUUGCCUUAUGGGAGAUGCGGGUUGAUGACAGCCCAGGAGCCAUGGAGUGGUCACUACGUGGUAGAAUCUCCUGUCUGGGUGUCAGCUCAUACCACUCAGUUUACUCAACCUGGCUGGUAUUACCUGAAGACAGUUGGCCAUUUAGAGAAAGGAGGAAGCUAUGUAGCUCUGACUGAUGGCUUAGGGAACCUCACCAUCAUCAUUGAAACCAUGAGUCAUAAACAUUCUAAGUGCAUACGGCCAUUUCUUCCUUAUUUCAAUGUGUCACAACAAUUUGCUACCUUUGUUCUUAAGGGAUCUUUUAGUGAAAUACCAGAGCUACAGGUGUGGUAUACCAAACUUGGAAAAACAUCCGAAAGAUUUCUUUUUAAGCAGCUGGAUUCUCUAUGGCUCCUCGACAGCAAUGGCAGUUUCACACUGAAACUGCAAGAAGAUGAGCUGUUCACACUCACCACUCUCACCACUGGUCGCAAAGGCAGCUACCUGCCUCCUCCAAAAUCCCAGCGCUUCCCGAGUACCUAUAAGGAUGAUUUCAAUGUUGAUUACCCAUUUUUUAGUGAAGCUCCAAACUUUGCUGAUCAAACUGGUGUAUUUGAAUAUUUUACAAAUAUGGAAGACCCUGGUGAGCAUCACUUCACGCUACGCCAAGUUCUCAACCAGAGACCCAUUACGUGGGCUGCCGAUGCAUCCAACACAAUCAGUAUUAUAGGAGACUACAACUGGACGAAUCUGACUAUAAAAUGUGAUGUUUACAUAGAGACCCCUGACACAGGAGGUGUGUUCAUUGCAGGAAGAGUAAAUAAAGGUGGUAUUUUGAUUAGAAGUGCCAGAGGAAUUUUCUUCUGGAUUUUUGCAAAUGGAUCUUACAGGGUUACAGGGGAUUUAGCUGGAUGGAUUAUAUAUGCUUUAGGACAUGUUGAAGUUACAGCAAAAAAAUGGUAUACACUCACAUUAACUAUUAAGGGUCGUUUUGCCUCUGGCAUGCUGAAUGACAAGUCUCUGUGGACAGACAUCCCUGUGAAUUUUCCGAAGAAUGGCUGGGCUGCAAUUGGAACUCACUCCUUUGAAUUUGCACAGUUUGACAACUUUCAUGUGGAAGCCACACGCUAAUACUUACAGGGCAUCAUAGAAUACUCUGGAUUUUCUUCCCUUCUUUUUGGUUUUGGUUCAGAGCCAAUUCUUGUUUCAUUGGAACAGUAUAUGAGCCUUUCGAGGCUAAAAAUAAUGAAGAGUAAAUGGGGAGAGAAAUUUAUUUUUAAUUUAUCCUGGAAGAUUUUGUUAGAAUUAAUUUCAAGGGGAAAACUGGUGAAUCUUUAACAUUACCUGGUGUGUUCAAACUGUGCAUUGGCCCUGCCCUUAGGAGUGGUUUGAGUAGUACAGACCUCGAAGCCUUGCUGCUAACACUAAGGUAGCUCUCUUCAUCUUACUUGCAAGCGGUCCUGCACAUGGCAGUAACUUGAUCAUCAUGGAGAUGUAUUUAUGCAUGCUGACCGUGUGUCCAAAUGAGCCAGUGUCUUCAGCACAAGAUGAUGCUGCCAUAAUAGAAAGCUGAAGAACACUGGAAGUAGCUUUUUGAAAACCACUUCAACCUGUUAUGUUUUAUGCUCUAAAAAGUAUUUUUUAAUUUUCCUUUUUAAGAUAAUACUUUUGAAAUGCAGGAUAUCAUGAGUGGAAUGAUUGAAAAAAUGCCUCUUUAAUAAACUACCUCUAACGCUAUUUCUGCAGUAAUAGAUAUUAUCAGAUUAAUUGGGUUAUUUGCAUUAUUUAAUUCUUUUGAUUCCAAGUUUUGGUCUUCUAACCACUAUAACUCUCUGUGAACAUUUUUCCAGGUGGCUGGAAGAAGGAAGAAAACCUGAUCUAGCCAAUGCUGUUGUAGGCAUUUCCUCUGCCUCAUCUCACUGUGCUGUGGUCUGUCCUCACAUGUGGCACUGGUAACAGACUCACACAGCUGAUGAAUGAUUUCUCUCCUUAUGUGUGGAAGGAGGGGAGCACCUAGCCAUUUGCUAACUCCCAGAAUUGGAUCAUCUCCUAAGAUGACUUCAAGUACAAUGUUGAGAAGUGGUAAGAGCAGAUGUAUCAGCCUUGUUCCGCAUCUUAGGAAGCGUCUCUUUCACCAUUAAGUAUGAGGAAGCCGAGGCACUGAGAGGAGAAGUAACAAGCUCAAGGUCUCAAGUGCAGGUGGUUCCAAUGGAAAAACUUGAUGUGUGCUCUGAAGUGAUGUUACUCAUCCACUGCAUAACCAUCACCUAUAUCAAAGGAGAGCCUUUACGUACUGGCUAAUACAGUGUGUUAAAUUCACCCCAAACGAACUGGAUGCCAUUAAACCUUUAGAGCAAUGGGACUGUUCUUACAAGAUGGAAGGUCAGACUUCUGGAAGAGCAGUUCCCUUCUGCAGUGCUGCUUCUCUGUCUCACAAGGAAGAAAUGCGUAUUUGUCUCCAUCAAUCCUCAAGCACUUGCCAAAAUCCAGGUGUGUAGUUCCUCCAUAUCCAUUUCUUUUAUUUGACUUGCAUUGGGGGGAUAGGACAUGGCUAAAAGUAUUUUUAAGCAAUAACUCAAACUAUGUCAAUAGGAUAGUGUUUCAAAUUCAGGUGUCCUGCCUUUCAUGUGCUGUAAGCCUCUGGGAAGCCAAUACCAUGUCAAAGAAGUAUAAAAUUAUUUACUGGGUCCAUCGUGCAAUUUUGAGGAAGUCUGUGGCAUUUGCUCAUUGCAUUCUUUGAAGGCAUCACACAGUAGGUGCCAUAAAUAUAUCAAACAAAUUUCAGCAUUCACCUCUGCAUAAUCAACUAUCCAGCAUUUGAGAGUGUGCAGGAAACUUCCCUCUUGGGAGUUCCUUUGCCAGAUGAUUAUUUUGGUUAUGAUGUCAGAAAUAGGUGGGCAGGCGUGUCUAUCCCGGUAAUCAGCAGAGGCUCAAGUAUACGUGGUCGUUAACGUUCUUAGCUCUCUUGCAACCUUGACUUCCAGGGCUAAAGUGAUCCUCCCACCUCAGCCUCCUGAGUAGCUGAGACUACAGGCAUGUGUCACCAUGCCCAGCUAAUUUUUGCAUUUUUUGUAGACACAGGGUUUCACCAUGUUGCCCACCAUGUCCUGGGCUGAAGCGGUCCACUCGCCUUGGCCUCCCAAAGUGCUGGGAUUACAGGUGUGAGCCACCGUGCCCGGCUAAUUUGAAGCUUUUUAAGAAACAGAAUCUUAAAUGGAAGAUGAGUGGCCGUCAAAGAGAAGCAGUAAGCAUGGUGACACGUCAAAGAGAAGCAGCAGUAAGACUGGGCAGAUCCCCUAUGUAAAAUGCACUAGAAGAUUUCAAAAAUUUUUUAUUUGACUAUCUCUCUGAUGAUAAAAAAGGGAGACCUCAAAACUACACAUGAACAAAGUCAUGUUUGUGGAAGAACUUUGGAAUUUUAGUAACGAAUUAGGAGACUCCAUCAAUCUAGUUUUAUUGUUGGAAUAGCUCUUCACUCCCCAGUUGAUAAACCUACCUAAUGUGUCCUGUCUCUCUGGGGCCCAUCAGGAAACAGGAUUGCACUUGAAUCGACCUGCAAAUUGUUCCUCAGCUUGGCCUUGUAUGAGACUCAGAGUCCGAUCUGGUAGGCAUUUAUUCAGGGCUUGUGCUAGGCAUUCAGUUAUGUGUUCUUCUGAAAUAUUCCUCCUUUCCAGGCUUCUAUUGACCACACUAAAAGCAGCAUCUCUCACUGUGGAAGACAAGGGACAUUUUCUAACCUCUUCUCUGGAAUUACAUUAAUGGAAAGUAUUGUGUCUUAAAAAGUAAAACAAAAACAAAAACAAAACCCAAAGCCUUGUGAAAUUGUUAGACAAACACUGCUGUUUUGAAUAACUACUUAGAAGAACCAUAAUAAUUUGGCCAUCAUUAAUGUAGAAUCUACUCCAAGCCAGACUUGGGCUUGAUAAAUUACAUUCAUUAAUAACAAACGCUAGACUGCGUGAGCCAGGCUUGACCUCCCCCAAGAACACAUUAUUUAAAAAUUCAUUUGGCGUCUAUUUCCAUAUCAAUAAUCAAUGUGCUAUUUACUGAUCAUUUAAAUCUGAUUAUUAAAGCAGAUUCAGAAAGAAGGACAUUGGCUUGCUAAUUGGCAGUGAUUUUGUUUUAGCUAAAACAUGUAACAGUACUUAAAAAUCUAGUAUAUCUUUGAAUAUCUAACAAUUCAGGAUUCUAAAAAAAUGACUGAUCUUGGGCAGAAUUAAUUUAGCUAAUGAGAUUUUUCUGUAUUUUACUGUUGACAGCUUUCUUUUCAAACGCUUGAAUUUUACAUUUGGGAAUUUUAUUCUGAGAAAUAAAAACAGAUUAAAUAGGGGCUUUUGAAAAUAUUAACAAAUGACUACUCUAUGAGAGUUUAGUAAGGAGAGGUGAAGUUGCUUUGAGGUUCAUUUCUUCACCUUGGCUGGUAUCACAGGUGUGAUGAUUAAUUUUACGUGUCCAACUUGGGUGGGCCACAGUGCCCAGCUAUCUGGUUUAACAUUAUUCCGGGUGUUCCUAUGAAGGUGUUAUUGUGGGUGAGAUUAACGUUUAAAUUGGUGGACUUUGAGUAAAGCAGGUUACCCUCCAUCAUGUGAGUGGACCUCAUCAUCCCAUCAAUGGAGGGGCUUGAUAGAAUGAAUACUGAAGACUUGGCUCCCCUGUGCAGGAAGGAAUUCUGCCAGUAGGCUGCUUUUGGACUCAAACUGCAACGCUUCCUGGGUCUCCAGUCUGCUAGCCUACCCUGCAGAUUUUGAACUUGUACCCCUACAAUUGUGUGGGUCAAUUCCUUAAAACAAAUUUCUCUCUCCUUCCAUAUAUCCUGUUGGUUCUACUUGUCUGGAGAACCCUGACUAAUACAACAGGCUUCUCAGAAUAUUAACUGUUUGAGAAAGUACCUAGCACUGUGCGUGGCACAUUUUAGAAAACGAUUGUUUAAAGCUUUGGAAGUGCAGUGAGUUGGCCAGCUUUCAGGUCUGAUGCAGAAUGAUAUUUAAUGUAGUUUAUUCAUCUUUAUUAUCAGUUUGAUGUUUUAUAGAAUUUAGCACUAUGGUAAUGGUUACUAAACAUAUGCAAAAAUUUUGUAGAAUACCUGGACAAGAGAGGGCAAAACAGACCAAUGGCAUAAAAUCAGACAGAAAAUAAACUUCUAUUUUUUGGCAGGCUUCCAUUCACAGAAACGGUUUUAAGCGGUUUCUAAAUGUUAGGCUUAAACUAGCACAUAUGAAAAGUGGAAGAGAAUAACCUAUUGAAUUUAAAUAGGAGAAAAUGUUAAUUUCUUAUGUGUUUAAAGGAACUUUGAAGUGUUUAAACAAGCACAAUUGGUGCCUGCUGUAUAGUUCAGAUAAUAAGGGAAGUGCUGGUUUCUGCAAAAAAACUGAUAAAAUGUGUGAUAUUCAUUCUAUGAAAUAAUAUUUUUUCCUGCAAAAAAGUGAUGUAUAUAUGGGAAAAGACAGACAAUUUGAAGAGAUCAAGAAUCACUUUUAAAAGAUGAUUAUUUUCAACUUUUGAAAUAUUUUCUUUCAGUGUUUUAUUCUGUGCCUUUUCUUAGCAUUUGGUUUUUACAUCAUUGUAUUACGUUGUAAUACACAAAGUAAUUUGUAAUAAUUCUUUUUUCCUCUUUAUGUAAAGUGAGGAUUUAUUAAAAAUGUAUGAGAUGUGACCAAAUUGUCAAAGGAGAGGAGCUAACUUUCUUGGAAAUCAGGGGAAAAUGCUGUAAAAACUUAAAAAGAAAAUCUGUUAUUACUGCUAAAACAUUCUUUCCUUCCUGAUUGGAUGUUUGUGUCUCUGUGAAUGUGUCUGGAUUGUGAAAUCAUCACAGUGUUUCAAAGGUGAGCCGUCUAGGCUAAUGGUCACGUUCUGGAGCCAGACAGCCUGGUUCAAAUCCCGGCUCUGCUUUCUGCUUACUCAUGGAGUAAACUUGGGCAAGUUUCCUUAUCUGUAAAGAGGGAUUGAUAAGCCUUCUUCUCUCUUAGGACUAUUGUAAGGAUAACCCGGAAAAUGGAAAAAAAACACUUAGAACAGUGCUUAGCACAUCAUAAGCCCUCAAUCAAUGAUAGCAAUUUCUGGAGGACAUGAGACUGCUUCUAAAAUCACAUCAUUAGGUCAGGAGAUCGAGACUAUCCUGGCUAACACAGUGAAACCCCG